rnacentral:rRNA from 1 species
CCUACGGGAGGCAGCAGUGGGGAAUAUUGGACAAUGGGGGCAACCCUGAUCCAGCAAUGCCGCGUGUGUGAAGAAGGCCUGAGGGUUGUAAAGCACUUUUGUCCGGAAAGAAAGCCUCUGCCCUAAUACGGUGGGGGGAUGACGGUACCGGAAGAAUAAGCACCGGCUAACUACGUGCCAGCAGCCGCGGUAAU